CGAAACCCCCCAAAACCGCCACUUCACAAGUCGGCGGGUCAAAUGAUCAAAAUUCCAUUCAUUCCCUGUCCGAACAUUUCUUCAUUUGUUUUCUUCAAAAAGCCACACACAAAAUCUGAGGAAAAAUAAAUCCAAGAAGUGGUUGAUUGUCGUGUAUAAAUGAAUACCCACACUUGAAAACCGUCGUCUUUGGUGAAAGUUGACGGCCAUGGACGACGACGCCACCAGAACUGACAUCCACCGCCACAAAAGCCGCAAGCGCCGCCUGAGCGCAGCUGAGGAGCGCAGCAACGAUGAAUUGGAUCAGGAGGUCGACGUGGAGGUCUGGGAGGCGCUGAGCAAGAGCUUUAUGCAGGUCCAGUCCGUACUGGAUCAGAACCGCGCCUUGAUCCAGCAGGCCAAUGACAACCACCAGUCCAGAGCCCCCGACGACCUCACCAGAAACGUUUCCUUAAUCCGCGAGAUCAACUCCAAUAUCUCCAAAGUCAUCUCGAUUUACUCCGAUUUGUCGGCCAAUUUCUCCGGCAUUGUCCACCAGCACCGCGCCGCCAUAACCCCCGCCAAGAACGACAACGACGGCCGCGAGACAGGGGAUCGGAAAUUGGAUCCCGUGAAAUCGGGCGUUGAAUCGCAGUGAUUUCGAUGACCUUGAUGAAGGCUGCGGGAUUGCUUGUCUUCGACCCGCAGAUAUUACAAGGGAAUAGGGACGAAUCAACGGUUAUCACAGUGCUGGGCAGAUAUCUGUAGAUAGUAGAGUAAGUUAUGACUGGUGCAACAACAGACGGUGGUCAGAUUAGGAUAGUCGAUUUCAGAAAGUCCAUGGAAGGUAAACUUGAAACUUCAAUCCCAAGCAACCCUCAAAGGACAUUAGCAUCGACAUGGUGCAACAACAGAUGUGCCUGGAUGUCUUGAAUGCUGCAAGAACAGAUGUGCCUUGGUGCAACGACAUGGAUUGUCUCAAGCGACAUGGUGGUCCUGUUAAUGAGACGUCUUCGAAUGUUGUAGGGAAUAUAAUGAUUUCAUUAUGCUCUUCAUAAUUAUGCAAUCUCUCUUAUUUGUCCUUUGGAUUCUACAUUUAUGUGAUUAAACUUUUCCGAACAAA